GCCGCCAUGGCUUAGUGGUACAGCGUCUCACUCGUAGCGCCAGCUUGUGAUGAGAAGAUCCUCGGUUCGAUUCCGAGUGGUGGCA